UCCAGGGUAGCCUAGUGGACAUGGCAUCUGCCCAGUAAGCGGAACACUGUGGGUUCGAUUUCCAUCCCUGGAC